UACGUAGGGUGUAAGCGUUGUCCGGAAUUAUUGGGCGUAAAGAGCUCGUAGGCGGUCUGUCGCGUCGGCUGUGAAAACCCGGGGCUCAACCCCGGGCCUGCAGUCGAUACGGGCAGACUAGAGUGCGGUAGGGGAGACUGAAAUUCCUGGUGUAGCGGUGAAAUGCGCAGAUAUCAGGAGGAACACCGGUGGCGAAGGCGGGUCUCUGGGCCGUAACUGACGCUGAGGAGCGAAAGCGUGGGGAGCGAACAGG
rnacentral:rRNA from 1 species